GGAAUAUUGGACAAUGGGGGAAACCCUGAUCCAGCGACGCCGCGCGAGUGAAGAAGUAUUUCGGUAUGUAAAGCUCUAUCAGCAGGGAAGAUAAUGACAGUACCUGACUAAGAAGCACCGGCUAAAUACGUGCCAGCAGCCGCGGUAAUACGUAUGGUGCAAGCGUUAUCCGGAUUUACUGGGUGUAAAGGGAGCGUAGGCGGUCUGCCAAGUCUGACGUGAAAACCCGGGGCUCAACCCCGGGAGUGCAUUGGAAACUGGCGGACUGGAGUGUCGGAGAGGUAAGCGGAAUUCCUAGUGUAGCGGUGAAAUGCGUAGAUAUUAGGAGGAACACCAGUGGCGAAGGCGGCCUGCUGGACUGCAACUGACGUUGAGGCCCGAAAGCGUGGGGAGCAAACA
rnacentral:rRNA from 1 species